UUAGUUUCCUGACCAGGGACUGAACCCAGGCCCCACCAAUGAAAGCACUAAGUCCUAACCACUGGACCACCAAGGAAUUCCCUGCCUUUUUUCUUUUCUUUUUUUAAUACCGAAAAACAGAUAAUCCUGGUGCAGAGGAACACUGUGUCCCCUUGCUUGCGGCGGCCAACUCAAAUCCUUUCUCCUGGAACCCGACCUGCCCUGUGCCCUUGGCACAAAGUUAAUGUUUGCUGAAUCAAGGAAACAUGUCAGCAGCAGCCUCGGGUGCCAAAGGAUGCACCACGAGGCCUGUGGAAUAUUAGUUCCCAGAUCACCUGACCUCCCUCUUGAGAAAUCUGUAUGCAGGUCAGGAAGCAACAGUUAGAUCUGGACAUGGAACAACAGACUGGUUCCAAAUAGGAAAAGGAGUACGUCAAGGCUGUAUAUUGUC